rnacentral:rRNA from 1 species
AUAUGCUUGUUCCAAAGAUUAAGCCAUGCAUGCUUAGAUAAUCUCGUAUCUCUCAGAAAUCUGCGAACGGCUCCGUAUAUCUGUUACAACUCGUCGCGCCCUAAGAAAGGUUGGUAAGCGCAUAUGGUUCGGUAAUUCUGUCAGUAAUACGUGUACCCGCAAGGCGCCCUGGCAUACGGUUUUUCCCUUAGAGAUCUAUGCAGCUAACAGGGCGGACUCUAGAACUACCAGCGACUCCGGUCGUUUGGGAAAAAGCUAGAGUGUUCCUCACCAGGCACGGGGAGAGCCGGGAAAUUUCAGACCUAUCAACUAGAGAACCAUGCAGUGUACGGUUUUGGUGGUAACGGGUACAGAGGAUCAGGGUUCGAUCCUGGAGAGGUAGCCUGAGAGAUCGCUACUACUUCUAAGGAAGGCAGCAGGCGCGCAACGUUCCCAAUGGGGGGGUUAAAGGUUCCCUGAGGACGUGACGGAAUAUAUCGAUGCUCCGGCCUUUAGGUCGUGGGCAAUUGAAAUGGGGGGAUUUUAAAUCCUACUACCGAGUAACGAUUGGAGGACAAGUCUGGUGCCAGCACCCGCGGUAAUUCCAGCUCCGAUAGCAUCUAAUUAAGUUGUUGCAGUUAAAACGCUCGUAGUCGAAAAUCGGGUUAUGGAGGGUCAUGCCAGGCACGGUCUCAGUAGGCACGCCUCAACGCUACCGAACGAUCGUGCCUUUGCGCUUCCGCAUAUAACCCGUUAACGACCGGGGGGCUCACCGUGCAGCCGGAGCUCUGCUCCGUGCAUGCCGACCUCCGGUCCGUUACCUUGAGAAAAUGUAGUAGCUCAAAUAAGGGCAGCUUGCGGCCCUAUGAAACCUGUAGCAAGGAAUAAGCAAAGACGCCUCGGCGCUUUGGUAAGCUGCAGAGUAAUGAUCGAUAGGGGAGAUCGGGGCAGGCCACAUGGUCGGGGUAGGGGUGAAAUCCGAUGAUCCUGGCCAGGUGAACCAAAGCGAAAGCAGCCUGCAAGUACUCUUUCUUUGAUCAAGAACGAAAGUCUGGGGAUCGAAGAUGAUCAGAUACCAUCGUAGUCCAGACCCUAAAUGCUGCCGACCAUGGAUGGACGACAGUCCAUCCUGACCCUGCCCGCACCUUGUAAGAAAUUAUAAAGUGUAUGGGCUCCGGGGGGAGUAUGGUCGCAAGACUGAAACUUAAAGGAAUUGACGGAAGAGCACACAAGGAGUGGAGCCUGCGGCUUAAUUUGACUCAACACGGGAAAACUCACGGAGGCAAGAGAGGGGUACGAUGCUCGGCCUGAAUGGCUAGGCAAGAUUCCCUCAGUGGUGGUGCAUGGUCGUUCUUAGUUCGUGGAGUGAUUUGUCUGGUCUAUUCCGCUAACGAGCAAGAUCCCGCCUUCUGAACGUUACGCGCUGUAUACGCCCGGUGGCAGUUUUUGGCUGAGCUGCCCGGUCGCAAGACCGGGUUUGAGCGGCUGAGCUCUGCCCUAGGUAAUCGGGAACAGAGAUGGUCACUGGCUAACCCUGGUGAUCGGACCUACCCCCGUUUUUUACAUGCGAGAACAGUAUAUAUGAACCCUCAAGGUUUACCUGCAUCAAGCAGGCAUAACCGGGUCAAUAACAGGUCAGUGAUGCCCUUAGAUGCCUUUGGCUGCACGCGCGCUACAAUGGGGAGAGCACCGGGUUUCAUCAGCCUCGAAAGAGCGCAGAAAAUCCUGCUAAUACUCCUCUUAACCGGGACUGCGUCGAGUAUCUCGACUAUACGAACGUGGAAUUUCUAGUACUCGUUGUUCACUAGAUAGCGGGGAUUC